rnacentral:rRNA from 1 species
CAAGUCGAACGAGAAAGUGAAGCAAUCCAUGAGUACAGUGGCGUACGGGUGAGUAACACGUGGGUAAUCUACCUCUUAGUGUGGAAUAACUUUGGGAAACCGAAGCUAAUACCGCAUAAGCUCGAGAGAGGAAAGCAGCAAUGCGCUGAGAGAGGAGCCCGCGGCCGAUUAGCUAGUUGGCAGGGUAAAAGCCUACCAAGGCAUAGAUCGGUAGCCGGCCUGAGAGGGCACACGGCCACACUGGCACUGAAACACGGGCCAGACUCCUACGGGAGGCAGCAGUGGGGAAUCUUGCACAAUGGGGGAAACCCUGAUGCAGCGACGCCGCGUGAGCGAUGAAGCCCUUCGGGGUGUAAAGCUCUUUCGGCAGGGAAGAUAGUGACGGUACCUGCAGAAGCAGCUGCGGCUAACUACGUGCCAGCAGCCGCGGUAAUACGUAGGCAGCGAGCGUUGUUCGGAGUUACUGGGCGUAAAGGGUGUGUAGGCGGUUGUUUAAGUUUGGUGUGAAAUCUCCCGGCUCAACUGGGAGGGUGCGCCGAAUACUGAAUGACUAGAGUACGGGAGAGGAAAGUGGAAUUCCUGGUGUAGCGGUGAAAUGCGUAGAUAUCAGGAGGAACACCGGUGGUGUAGACGGCUUUCUGGACCGUAACUGACGCUGAGACACGAAAGCGUGGGUAGCAAACAGGAUUAGAUACCCUGGUAGUCCACGCCCUAAACGAUGCAUAUUUGGUGUGGGCAGUUCAUUCUGUCCGUGCCGGAGCUAACGCGUUAAAUAUGCCGCCUGGGGAGUACAGUCGCAAGGCUGAAACUCAAAGGAAUUGACGGGGGCCCGCACAAGCGGUGGAGCAUGUGGUUCAAUUCGACGCACCGCGAAGAACCUUACCUGGGCUCGAACGGCUUCUUAACGAU